AAGAUUUUAAGUUAAUCAAACUAAAGGCUUUCAAGGCCUUAAAUAAAUAAGUGUAUUUAAAUCUUG
rnacentral:tRNA from 1 species